GAUGAAGAACGUAGUGAAAUGCGAUAAGUAGUGUGAAUUGCAGAAUUCAGUGAAUCAUCGAAUCUUUGAACGCACAUUGCGCCCCUUGGUAUUCCAUGGGGCAUGCCUGUUCGAGCGUCAUUUGUACCUUCAAGCUCUGCUUGGUGUUGGGUGUUUGUCUCGCCUCUGCGUGUAGACUCGCCUCAAAACAAUUGGCAGCCGGCGUAUUGAUUUCGGAGCGCAGUACAUCUCGCGCUUUGCACUCAUAACGACGACGUCCAAAAGUACAUUUUUACACUCUUGACCUCGGAUCAGGUAGGGAUACCCGCUGAACUUAAGCAUAUCAUAAGCGGAGGA
rnacentral:misc_RNA from 1 species